CAUAACGACUCUCGGCAACGGAUAUCUCGGCUCUCGCAUCGAUGAAGAACGUAGCGAACUGCGAUACUUGGUGUGAAUUGCAGAAUCCCGUGAACCAUCGAGUCUUUGAACGCAAGUUGCGCCCGAAUCCUUUGGAAGAGGGCACGUUUGCCUGGGUGUCA
rnacentral:rRNA from 1 species